CAAUAGCGUAUAUUUAAGUUGUUGCAGUUAAAAAGCUCGUAGUUGGAUUUCGGUUAAGAGCGACCGGUCCGCCGUUUGGUGUGCACUGGUUGGUUUUAACUUCCUGUAGAGGACGUGCUCUGGGUUUAACGACCUGGACUCGGAGUCUACGUGGUUACUUUGAAAAAAUUAGAGUGUUCAAAGCGGGCUUACGCUUGAAUAUUUCAGCAUGGAAUAACACUAUAGGACUCCUGUCCUAUUUCGUUGGUCUCGGGACGGGAGUAAUGAUUAAGAGGAACAGUUGGGGGCAUUCGUAUUUCAUUGCCAGAGGUGAAAUUCUUGGAUUUAUGAAAGACGAACUUCUGCGAAAGCAUUUGCCAAGGAUGUUUUCAUUAA
rnacentral:rRNA from 1 species